rnacentral:rRNA from 1 species
GGUUAAGCGACUAAGCGUACACGGUGGAUGCCCUGGCAGUCAGAGGCGAUGAAGGGCGUGCUAAUCUGCGAUAAGCGCCGGUAAGGUGAUAUGAACCGUUAUAACCGGCGAUACCCGAAUGGGGAAACCCAGUGUGACUCGUCACACUAUCAUUAACUGAAUCCAUAGGUUAAUGAGGCGAACCGGGGGAACUGAAACAUCUAAGUACCCCGAGGAAAAGAAAUCAACCGAGAUUCCCCCAGUAGCGGCGAGCGAACGGGGAGGAGCCCAGAGCCUGAAUCAGCAUGUGUGUUAGUGGAAGCGUCUGGAAAGGCGCGCGAUACAGGGUGACAGCCCCGUACACAAAAGCGCAUGUGCUGUGAGCUCGAUGAGUAGGGCGGGACACGUGGUAUCCUGUCUGAAUAUGGGGGGACCAUCCUCCAAGGCUAAAUACUCCUGACUGACCGAUAGUGAACCAGUACCGUGAGGGAAAGGCGAAAAGAACCCCGGCGAGGGGAGUGAAAAAGAACCUGAAACCGUGUACGUACAAGCAGUGGGAGCACAGGUUUACCUGUGUGACUGCGUACCUUUUGUAUAAUGGGUCAGCGACUUAUAUUCUGUAGCAAGGUUAACCGUAUAGGGGAGCCGGAGGGAAACCGAGUCUUAACCGGGCGUUAAGUUGCAGGGUAUAGACCCGAAACCCGGUGAUCUAGCCAUGGGCAGGUUGAAGGUUGGGUAACACUAACUGGAGGACCGAACCGACUAAUGUU